rnacentral:rRNA from 1 species
UUCGGGGUACUCGAGCGGCGAACGGGUGAGUAACACGUGAGCAACCUGCCCCAGGCUUUGGGAUAACCCCGGGAAACCGGGGCUAAUACCGAAUAUUACUGCUGAUCGCAUGGUUGGUGGUGGAAAGUUUUUCGGCUUGGGAUGGGCUCGCGGCCUAUCAGCUUGUUGGUGGGGUGAUGGCCUACCAAGGCGACGACGGGUAGCCGGCCUGAGAGGGCGACCGGCCACACUGGGACUGAGACACGGCCCAGACUCCUACGGGAGGCAGCAGUGGGGAAUAUUGCACAAUGGGCGGAAGCCUGAUGCAGCGACGCCGCGUGAGGGAUGACGGCCUUCGGGUUGUAAACCUCUUUCAGCAGGGACGAAGCGCAAGUGACGGUACCUGCAGAAGAAGCACCGGCCAACUACGUGCCAGCAGCCGCGGUAAGACGUAGGGUGCGAGCGUUGUCCGGAUUUAUUGGGCGUAAAGAGCUCGUAGGCGGCUUGUCGCGUCGACUGUGAAAACCCGCAGCUCAACUGCGGGCUUGCAGUCGAUACGGGCAGGCUAGAGUUCGGUAGGGGAGACUGGAAUUCCUGGUGUAGCGGUGAAAUGCGCAGAUAUCAGGAGGAACACCGGUGGCGAAGGCGGGUCUCUGGGCCGAUACUGA